UGUGAUUUACAUCAUGUGAUGUCACACAUAAAUAAUUAGUUAUGCAAAUUAGUACGGCCUGUAUUUUUUUCCAAGAAAGGUGGCAACCCUAACUACUCUUCACAUACUCUUGCUUUGGAAACUUAAGAGGGAUAUAUGGAAACAAAACUUGUGUGGACUGGCUGACAAUGAAAUUAGUUUAGGUAAUGCUGACUUUGGUCUCUC